rnacentral:tRNA from 1 species
UCCGCGUGCUUUGUUGGUACGAGAAGGCGACUGUUAAUCGCCCAGACGCAGGUUCGAUUCCUGCUGCCGGAG